rnacentral:rRNA from 1 species
UAGGGAAUCUUCGGCAAUGGACGAAAGUCUGACCGAGCAACGCCGCGUGAGUGAAGAAGGUUUUCGGAUCGUAAAACUCUGUUGUUAGAGAAGAACAAGGACGUUAGUAACUGAACGUCCCCUGACGGUAUCUAACCAGAAAGCCACGGCUAACUACGUGCCAGCAGCCGCGGUAAUACGUAGGUGGCAAGCGUUGUCCGGAUUUAUUGGGCGUAAAGCGAGCGCAGGCGGUUUCUUAAGUCUGAUGUGAAAGCCCCCGGCUCAACCGGGGAGGGUCAUUGUAAACUGGGAGACUUUAGUGCAGAAGAGGAGAGUGGAAUUCCAUGUGUAGCGGUGAAAUGCGUAGAUAUAUGGAGGAACACCAGUGGCGAAGGCGGCUCUCUGGUCUGUAACUGACGCUGAGGAUCGAAAGCGUGGGGAGCAAACAGG